UGCGGUCAAGCGACUAAGGGCGCAUGGUGGAUGUCUUGGCGUCAAGAGGCGAUGAAGGACGUGGGAACCUGCGAAAAGCCAGAGGGAGCCGGUAACCGGGCAGUGAUCUCUGGAUGUCCGAAUGGGUCAACCCGGCCGAAAGGCCAUCGUGCACUGAAUGCAUAGGUGCACGAAGCGAACCCGGGGAACUGAAACAUCUCAGUACCCGGAGGAAAGGAAAGCAACCGCGACUCCGUCAGUAGCGGCGAGCGAAAGCGGACGAACCUGGAAACACGCGAGGCGGCUGGAAAGCCGCACCGAAGAGGGUGACAGUCCCGUAGCGUGCGGAAAGGGGAGCACUCGAGUAGCGUCGGGCUCGUGAAACCCGGCGUGAACAUGGGGGGUCCACCCUCCAAUGCUAAGUACUCCUUGACGACCGAUAGUGAAUCAGUAAGGCGACUGAACGAUGAAAAGAACCGCUGCGAGCGGUGUGAAAGAGUACCUGAAACCAUGCGCUUACACAGCGGUCGGAGCCCCUUCGGGGGUGACGGCGUGCCUUUUGCAUAAUGACCCGGCGAGUUACGCUGUACGGCGAGGGUAAGGCCCAUCGGGCCGGACCCGGAGCGAAAGCGAGUCUGAACAGGGCGACAAGUCGUACGGCGUAGACGCGAAACCUAAGUGAUCUACCCAUGGCCAGGGUGAAGGGCGGGUAACACCGCCUGGAGGCCCGAACUCGUUAUCGUUGAAAAGAUAUGGGAUGAGCUGUGGGGAGGAGUAAAAGUCUAAUCAAACUGGGAGAUAGCUCGUUCUCUCCGAAAUGUUUUUAGGAACAGCCUCUCGCGGCAGCCCACGGGGGUAGAGCGACUGGAUGACUUUGGGGCCCUACCCGGGUACCCGGGCCAACCAAACUCCGAAUACCGUGGGUCAAGGCGAGGGAGUGAGACGGCGAGUGACAAUAUCCGUCGUCAAAAGGGCAACAGCCCAGACCGCCGGCUAAGGUCCCGGAACAACGCUCAGUUUGGAAAGGAAGUCGAUCUGCGAUGACAGCCAGGAUGUUGGCUUAGAAGCAGCCACCAUUUAAAGAGUGCGUAAUAGCUCACUGGUCGAGGAGAUCGGCGCCGAUAAUGAUCGGGAAUAAGCGUUGUACCGAAGCCGCGGGCUCGAAAGAGCGGUAGGAGAGCGUUCCUGUCGGCUGUGAAGGCGUCCCGGAAGGGUCGUUGGAGCGUCAGGAAGUGAAUAUGCCGGGUUGAGUAACGAUAAAGCAGGUGAAAAUCCUGCUCGCCGCAAGCCCAAGGGUUCCUGGGGAAGGUAAAUCCGCCCAGGGUUAGUCGGGACCUAAGGCGAGGCCGAUAGGCGUAGUCGAUGGACAGCAGGCGAACAUUCCUGCACCUCCGCAGAGACCGAACCGUGGUGCGAAUCCCAAAGCCGCGCAGAAGCGCCAGCCGUCUGAGGCCCUCGAGGCCGACGCGCGGGGGCGGGGUUCCCAGAAAAGCCACGGCCGCGAAGCGGAGUCCGUACCAAAACUGACACAGGUGGGCGAGGCGAAUAGCCUCAGGCGCUCGAGAGAACGGUCGCGAAGGAACUAGGCAAAUUAACCCCGUAAGUUAGCGAUAAGGGGGCCCUACCCGAAAGGGAGGGCGCAGAGAAAAGGCUCUGACGACUGUUUAUCAAAAACACAGCACUGUGCGAACACGCAAGUGGAAGUAUACAGUGUGACGCUUGCCCGGUACCGGAAUGUCACGGGAGUGGGUCAGCUUCGGCGAAGCUCAUAACCUAAGCACCGGUAAACGGCGGCCGUAACUAUAACGGUCCUAAGGUAGCGAAAUUCCUUGUCGGGUAAGUUCCGACGCGCAUGAAUAGCGUAACGAUUGGAGCACUGUCUCCGCGACCGACUCGGUGAAAUAGUAGUGGCGGUGAGGAUGCCGUCUACCCGCGGCAAGACGGAAAGACCCUAUGGACCUUCACUAUAGGCUUCUAUUGGCCAUGAGCAUACGGUGCGUAGCAUAGGUGGGAGGCGUUGACGCCGGGGUUUCGGCCCCGGUCGAGCCACAGGUGAAAUACCACCCUCUGCAUGUUCGUGGCCUAACCCCGAUUCCCGUGAUCCGGGCGGGGGACAGUGGGUGCUGGUUAGUUUGACUGGGGCGGUCUCCUCCAAAAGAGUAACGGAGGAGUGCAAAGGUCGGCUCAGCGCGGAUGGAAACCGCGUGUCGAGUGCAAGAGUACAAGCCGGCUUUACUGCGAGGCCGACGGGCCAAGCAGUCUCGAAAGAGGGCUCUAGUGAUCCUGCGGUUCCGAGUGGAAGGGCCGUAGCUCAUCGGAUAAAAGGUACCCUAGGGAUAACAGGCUGAUCGCUCCCGAGCGUCCAUAGCGGCGGAGCGGUUUGGCACCUCGAUGUCGGCUCAUCACAUCCUGGGACUGAAGGCGGCCCCAAGGGUUCGGCUGUUCGCCGAUUAAAGUGGUACGCGAGCUGGGUUCAGACCGGCGCGAGCCAGGUCGGUCCCUAUCUGCCGUGGGCGUUGCAGGCUUGAAAGGACUUCUCCCUAGUACGAGAGGAUUGGGAGGGACAUACCCCUGGUGAUCCAGUUGGGGCGCUAGCCCCACCGCUGGGUAGCUAAGUAUGGCAGGGAUAACCGCUGAAAGCAUCUAAGCGGGAAGCUCCCCUUGAGAUAAGGCCUGCUUGCGAAAGCGAAAGACCCCUGGAAGACCACCAGGUUGAUCGGCUGCGUGUGUAAGGGCUGAGAGGCCUUCAGCAGAGCAGUACGAACGGUCGAACGCUUGACCGCUCC
rnacentral:rRNA from 1 species